GAAGGUAUAGCUCAAGUGGUAGAGCACAUGCUUAGCACGCACGAGGUCUUGGGUUCAAUCCCCAGUACCUCCU
rnacentral:tRNA from 1 species